GACGAACGCUGGCGGCGUGCUUAACACAUGCAAGUCGAACGGAAAGGCCCUGCUUUUGUGGGGUGCUCGAGUGGCGAACGGGUGAGUAACACGUGAGUAACCUGCCCUUGACUUUGGGAUAACGUCAGGAAACUGGGGCUAAUACCGGAUAGGAGCUCCUGCUGCAUGGUGGGGGUUGGAAAGUUUCGGCGGUUGGGGAUGGACUCGCGGCUUAUCAGCUUGUUGGUGGGGUAGUGGCUUACCAAGGCUUUGACGGGUAGCCGGCCUGGGAGGGUGACCGGCCACAUUGGGACUGAGAUACGGCCCAGACUCCUACGGGAGGCAGCAGUGGGGAAUAUUGCACAAUGGGCGGAAGCCUGAUGCAGCAACGCCGCGUGCGGGAUGACGGCCUUCGGGUUGUAAACCGCUUUCGCCUGUGACGAAGCGUGAGUGACGGUAAUGGGUAAAGAAGCACCGGCUAACUACGUG
rnacentral:rRNA from 1 species